AGGUAAGCUACUAAGAGCGAAUGGUGGAUGCCUUGACUGGUAAAGGCGAUGAAGGACGUACUAGACUGCGAUAAGCUACGGGGAGCUGUCAAGAAGCUUUGAUCCGUAGAUUUCCGAAUGGGGCAACCCAAUGUAUAGAGAUAUACAUUACCUAUAUAGGAGCGAACGAGGGGAAUUGAAACAUCUUAGUACCCUCAGGAAAAGAAAUCAAUAGAGAUUGUGUCAGUAGCGGCGAGCGAAAGCGCAAGAGGGCAAACCCAGUGCUUGCACUGGGGGUUGUAGGACUGCAAUGUGCAAGAGCUGAGUUUAGCAGAACAUUCUGGAAAGUAUAGCCAUAGAGGGUGAUAGUCCCGUAUGCGAAAAACAAAGCUUAGCUAGCAGUAUCCUGAGUAGGGCGGGACACGAGGAAUCCUGUCUGAAUCCGGGUCGACCACGAUCCAACCCUAAAU
rnacentral:rRNA from 1 species